rnacentral:tRNA from 1 species
ACCUGGCUGGCUCAGUUGGUAGAGCAUGCAAUUCUUGAUUUCUUGGUUGUGAGUUCAAGCCCCAUGUUGGGUG